rnacentral:rRNA from 1 species
AUUGAACGCUGGCGGCAGGCCUAACACAUGCAAGUCGAACGAGUGGCGGACGGGUGAGUAAUGUCUGGGAAACUGCCUGCUGGAGGGGGAUAACUACUGGAAACGGUAGCUAAUACCGCAUACCAUCGGAUGUGCCCAGAUGGGCUUGGCUAUGAGGUGGGGUAAAGGCUCACCUAGGCGACGAUCCCUAGCUGGUCUGAGAGGAUGACCAUCCACACUGGAACUGAGCCACGGUCCAGAUUCCUACGGGAGGCAGCAGUGGGGAAUAUUGCACAAGGGGCGCAAGCCUGAUGCAGCCAUGCCGCGUGUAUGAAGAAGGCCUUCGGGUUGUAAAGUACUUUCAGCGGGGAGGCGGUACCCGCAGAAGAAGCACCGGCUAACUCCGUGCCAGCAGCCGCGGUAAUAC